AACGCACAUGGCGCCUUCCAGUAUCCUGGGAGGCAUGCCUGUCCGAGCGUCGUUUCAACCCUCGAGCCCCAGUGGCCCGGUGUUGGGGAUCUACGUCUGUAGGCCCUUAAAAUCAGUGGCGGACCCGCGUGGCCCUUCCUUGCGUAGUAAUUUUCGCUCGCAUCGGAGUCCCGCAGGCACCAGCCUCUAAACCCCCUACAAGCCCGCCUCGUGCGGCAACGGUUGACCUCGGAUCAGGUAGGAAUACCCGCUGAACUUAA
rnacentral:misc_RNA from 1 species